UGGGUUGAAGGGAUUGAGCUUUCUGGGUGAAGAAAAUGGUGGGAAUUCUUGGGUUUGGAAGGUGAAAUCGGGUCUGAAUUGCAUUGAUUUGAGAGAGAGGGGAGUGAUUUUAAGGAAAACAAAUUUGUGGGUUUUGAAGAGGUUUGUAAAGGGUGUCUGGAGAGGAAUUUAUAGAGAGAGAUUGAUGAACGAUUAUGCAUUUUGAAGUAGGGAGAGAGAUAAAGGAACUGAAAUUUUAACUGUUUACUCGAAAGAAGAAGGAGGCGGUUCUAUGG
rnacentral:lncRNA from 1 species